AACCCAAAUUAAUAAAUACCGGCGUAAAGCGUGUUUAAGUAACAUAUUAAAAUAAAGUUAAUAAUUAACUAAACUGUAGCACGUUCUAGUUAAUAUUAAAAUACAUAAUAAAAAUGACUUUAAUAUCACCGACUACACGACAACUAAGACACAAACUGGGAUUAGAUACCCCACUAUGCUUAGUAAUAAACUAAAAUAAUUUAACAAACAAAAUUAUUCGCCAGAGAACUACUAGCCAUUGCUUAAAACUCAAAGGACUUGGCGGUGCCCUAAACCCACCUAGAGGAGCCUGUUCUAUAAUCGAUAAACCCCGAUAAACCCGACCUUAUCUUGCCAAUA
rnacentral:rRNA from 1 species